rnacentral:rRNA from 1 species
UGCACACAGGUGCUGCAUGGCUGUCGUCAGCUCGUGUCGUGAGAUGUUGGGUUAAGUCCCGCAACGAGCGCAACCCUCGCCCUUAGUUGCCAUCAUUAAGUUGGGCACUCUAGGGGGACUGCCGGUGAUAAGCCGCGAGGAAGGUGGGGAUGACGUUAAGUCCUCAUGGCCCUUACGGGCUGGGCUACACACGUGCUACAAUGGCGGUGACAGUGGGCAGCAAAGGGGCGACCCCGAGCUAAUCUCCAAAAGCCGUCUCAGUUCGGAUUGCACUCUGCAACUCGAGUGCAUGAAGUUGGAAUCGCUAGUAGUCGUGGAUCAGCAUGCCACGGUGAAUACGUUCCCGGGCCUUGUACACACCGCCCGUCACACCAUGGGAGUUGGCUUUACCCGAAGGUGGUGCGCUAACCCGCAAGGGAGGCAGCCAAC